rnacentral:lncRNA from 1 species
GUUUAACGGUUUAAGAGACCCGGUUGACUUCACGUCGUAGUUGCGGAUGUUGGAAUGAGAGGGGAUUAGCAACGAAUGAUGGUUUUAGGAUUUGUGGUGGGUUGAGAAAGAAAAAAAGAACUGUGGUGUUGAGAAAAUACGAUCGUAGAAAAUAGGGGUUUUAGUGUUUAUUUGAGGAAAUAGGGGUUUUAGUGUUUAC